UCCUUGACAUUCUUGUUCUUAGUAUUUUAAUGCAUGACUUAACACAUGGUAUAUUUUGCAUAUGGUAUGAUGUCUUGAUUUAUGGAUUCUCAAUAUUUUGUAAUGUUUCAUACUUGGACAAUUUGAUUGAAUGUUUGAAUUGCUACAUAACAUCUUUUGUUUAGUUUUAUUGAAAAGAAAAUUCAGAUUUGUUAUUCACAAUCAUCGUUAAAAUCUGAAAGUUAAAUAAAUUUGUAAAAAAAAAAAAGGGAGAAAAGAAGGAUAUCUCUAUUUAGGCAAAAUGAAUUGAGUUUGUCUUAUCCAUCAACUUGCUUAACUUUGGUAUAUAAUGUGCUAACUCAUACCAAAAUUCAACAUAAAUACAAAUAUUCUGAAUAUGCUUGAAAUUUGUGUUUUCAAUCGUAAUGAUUUAAGAUAAGCUACAAUGUGGAAGAUCCAUAUCUCAAAUUAUGACUUUGAAAGCCUUUUUUGAAAAUCUUUAUGAAAUUCAGAAUC
rnacentral:lncRNA from 1 species